rnacentral:tRNA from 1 species
AUUUAUUUAAUAUAAAAAGUAUAUUUGAUUUCCAAUCAAAAAGUCUAAUUAUUGUAGAAUAAAUA